CCAAAAUCAGGAAGUAACGAUACAGCCUGGGUGUGGCUUAGAAGUGUCAGAAGAUUUCUUCACUACCGGCUGUAAUUGUCACAAACACAAAUACAGACAGCAGAGAGAGAGAAAGGCCUGUAGGCUGUGUAUUAUCCUUUACCGUCAUCUCCUCUCCGCCACAAUAACGGGUGCAUGCAUGGCAGAACUUUUAGGAUACAGCGCGGGUUUUGAGCAGGUGUGAAGUGGGGAUGCUGUGAGUGUGUGAGUGUGUGUGUGUCGUGGUGACCGGGUGUGCUGUGAUGUCAGGUGACAGCAGCACAUUGUCUUGGAAGGUUGUGGAGACCUAUGGCCAAUCAAAGUCCUCGGACACUUCCCAGACGACGGUUGCUGGGGACGGCGGUCCAACAAAGAUUGUCAAAGUGUGUUUCACCAGCAACAGUGCUAACUUGGGGAAGAACUUUAAACUAGUCCGCUGUCAUGAGGGCAUGACUGUACGGAAUAUAAUAACAGCGGUGUUGUCCAGUGAUGUGUUGGGGUCCAGACAUCCAACACUCCCUCUGCUACGGCCUGCUGCUGAAACACCUGAAGUCAGCUGAGGUCCACUGGCUGCACCCGGCCUCACCGUGUCAGAACUGCAGCUACGCUACGAACAACAGCAUCUGGAGGCAGAGUGGAGAUAUGACCUGCGCAUUAGGUACAUCCCUGCUGACUUCAUAGAAAGUUUAAAGAGGACAGAACCACACUGCUCUACUUCUACCAGCAGGUGAGAAGUGACUACAUGCAGCACUAUGCCAGUAAAGUGAGUGAUGGGAUGGCCUUGCAGUUAGGUUGUCUGGAGAUCAGGAGAUUCUAUAAAGACAUGAACCCCAAUGGACUGGAGAAAAAGUCCAACUAUGAACUGUUAGAGAAGGAUGUAGGGCUGGGACUGUUCUUCCCCAAGGAGAUGACUGACACCAUGAAG